rnacentral:rRNA from 1 species
UACGUAGGGGGCAAGCGUUAUCCGGAUUUACUGGGUGUAAAGGGAGCGUAGACGGCAGUGCAAGUCUGGAGUGAAAGGCGCGGGCUCAACCCGCGGACGGCACAUGAUACUGCGAGACUAGAGUAAUGGAGGGGGAACCGGAAUUCUCGGUGUAGCAGUGAAAUGCGUAGAUAUCGAGAGGAACACUCGUGGCGAAGGCGGGUUCCUGGACAUUAACUGACGCUGAGGCACGAAGGCCAGGGGAGCGAAAGGG